rnacentral:rRNA from 1 species
UACGGAAGGCAGCAGUGGGGAAUAUUGCACAAUGGGCGAAAGCCUGAUGCAGCUAUGCCGCGUGUAUGAAGAAGGCCUUAGGGUUGUAAAGUACUUUCAUCGGGGAGGAAAAAACAAAACUAAUAAUUUUAUUUCUUGACGUUACCCGAAAAAGAAGCACCGGCUAACUCCGUGCCAGCAGCCGCGGUAAUACGGAGGGUGCUAGCGUUAAUCAGAAUUACUGGGCGUAAAGAGCACGUAGGUGGUUUUUUUAAGUCAGAUGUGAAAUCCCUGGGCUUAACCUGGAACUGCAUUUUGAAACUGAAAUACUAGAGUAUCGUAGAGGGAGGUAGAAUUCUAGGUGUAGCGGUGAAAUGCGUAGAUAUCUGGAGGAAUACCUGUGGCGAAAGCGGCCUCCUAAACGAAUACUGACACUGAGGUGCGAAAGCGUGGGGAGCAAACAGGGAUUAGACUA